GCAGGCCCUGAGGACCAGCCCCUCACCCCCACUGGGUCGGAUCCCCAAAGUGGUCUGGGAAGGCACCUGGGGGUUGUGAUCGGCAUCUUGGUGGCCGUCGUCCUACUGCUCCUCCUCCUCCUCCUCCUCUUCCUCAUCCUCCGACAUCGACGUCAGGGCAAACACUGGACAUCGACCCAGAGAAAGGCUGAUUUCCAACAUCCUGCAGGGGCUGUGGGGCCAGAGCCCACAGACAGAGGCCUGCAGUGGAGGUAAUUCUGCCCGAAGACCCCAGACUCCCACCUGCUCGUGGCCCAUACACUGCCCCUAAAGCUCCCAUUCCUCCCCCAGGUCCAGCCCAGCUGCCGACGCCCAGGAAGAAAACCUCUAUGCUGCCGUGAAGGACACACAGCCUGAAGAUGGGGUGGAGAUGGACACUCGGAGCCCACACGAUGAAGACCCCCAGGCAGUGACGUAUGCCCCGGUGAAACACUCCAGACCUAGGAGAGAAAUGGCCUCUCCUCCUUCCCCACUGUCUGGGGAAUUCCUGGACACAAAGGACAGACAGGCAGAAGAGGACAGACAGAUGGACACUGAGAGAGUCCUUUCCUCUCCAGGCCCCCAGGCCUCCCC
rnacentral:lncRNA from 10 species